GACGAACCGUGCGAACGUUGUUCGGAAUCACUGGGCUUAAAGGGCGCGUAGGCGGGUCGGCAGGUCCGGGGUGAAAGCCCCCAGCUUAACUGGGGAAGAGCCUUGGAUACCGCCGGUCUCGAGGAAGGUAGGGGCACGUGGAACUUCGGGUGGAGCGGUGAAAUGCGUUGAUAUCCGAAGGAACGCCGGUGGCGAAAGCGACGUGCUGGACCUUUUCUGACGCUGAGGCGCGAAAGCCAGGGGAGCGAACGGG
rnacentral:rRNA from 1 species